UACAGAGGUCCCAAGCGUUGUUCGGAUUCACUGGGCGUAAAGGGUGCGCAGGUGGUCGGGUAAGUCUGACGUGAAAUCCCCGGGCUUAACCUGGGAAUUGCGUUGGAGACUGCAAGGCUAGAAUCUGGCAGAGGGGGGUAGAAUUCCACGUGUAGCAGUGAAAUGCGUAGAGAUGUGGAGGAACACCGAUGGCGAAGGCAGCCCCCUGGGUCAAGAUUGACGCUCAUGCACGAAAGCGUGGGGAGCAAACAGG
rnacentral:rRNA from 1 species